GAUGAACGCUGGCGGCGUGCCUAAUACAUGCAAGUCGAGCGAACGGACGAGAAGCUUGCUUCUCUGAUGUUAGCGGCGGACGGGUGAGUAACACGUGGAUAACCUACCUAUAAGACUGGGAUAACUUCGGGAAACCGUAGCUAAUACCGGAUAAUAUUUUGAACCGCAUGGUUCAAAAGUGAAAGACGGUCUUGCUGUCACUUAUAGAUGGAUCCGCGCUGCAUUAGCUAGUUGGUAAGGUAACGGCUUACCAAGGCAACGAUGCAUAGCCGACCUGAGAGGGUGAUCGGCCACACUGGAACUGAGACACGGUCCAGACUCCUACGGGAGGCAGCAGUAGGGAAUCUUCCGCAAUGGGCGAAAGCCUGACGGAGCAACGCCGCGUGAGUGAUGAAGGUCUUCGGAUCGUAAAGCUCUGUUAUUAGGGAAGAACAUAUGUGUAAGUAACUGUGCACAUCUUGACGGUACCUAAUCAGAAAGCCCCGGCUAACUACGUG
rnacentral:rRNA from 1 species